AUUGAACGCUGGCGGCAGGCUUAACACAUGCAAGUCGAGCGAGCGGGGGACGGGUGUGUAAUGUCUGGGAAACUGCCUGAUGGCUGGGGUUAACUACGGAAACCGGUAGCUAUUCCCGCAUACCUUUAGAUUUUCCCUGAUGGGAUUAGCUAGUAGGUGGGGUAAUGGCUAACCAAGGACACGAUGCCUAGCUGGUCUGAGAGGUUGACCGGCCACACUGGAACUGAGACACGGUCCAGACUCCUACGGGAGGCAGCAGUGGGGAAUAUUGCGCAAUGGGCGAAAGCCUGACGGAGCCAUGCCGCGUGAGUGAAGAAGGCCUUCGGGUUGUAAAGCUCUGUCAGCGAGGAGGCGGUACUCGCAGAGGAAGCAACGGCUAACUCCGUGCCAGCAGCCGCGGUAAUUC
rnacentral:rRNA from 1 species